AAUUUUAUGGUGUAAUGGUGAACACUCUGGACUUGGAAUCCAGAAUUAAAAAUA
rfam:Chlorocebus sabaeus isolate 1994-021 chromosome 27, whole genome shotgun sequence.